UAGGAGGUGACGAGCGGCGGACGGGUGAGUAAUGCAUAGGAAUCUGCCCGGUAGUGGGGGAUAACCUGGGGAAACUCAGGCUAAUACCGCAUACGCCCUACGGGGGAAAGCAGGGGAUCUUCGGACCUUGCGCUAUCGGAUGAGCCUAUGUCGGAUUAGCUUGUUGGUGAGGUAAUGGCUCACCAAGGCGACGAUCCGUAGCUGGUCUGAGAGGAUGAUCAGCCACAUCGGGACUGAGACACGGCCCGAACUCCUACGGGAGGCAGCAGUGGGGAAUAUUGGACAAUGGGCGAAAGCCUGAUCCAGCCAUGCCGCGUGUGUGAAGAAGGCUUUCGGGUUGUAAAGCACUUUCAGUGAGGAAGAAAGCCUUGGGGCUAAUACCCCUAAGGGACGACAUCACUCACAGAAGAAGCACCGGCUAACUCCGUGCCAGCAGCCGCGGUAAUACGGAGGGUGCGAGCGUUAAUCGGAAUUACUGGGCGUAAAGCGCGCGUAGGUGGCUUGAUAAGCCGGAUGUGAAAGCCCCGGGCUCAACCUGGGAACGGCAUCCGGAACUGUCAGGCUAGAGUGCAGGAGAGGAAGGUAGAAUUCCCGGUGUAGCGGUGAAAUGCGUAGAGAUCGGGAGGAACACCAGUGGCGAAGGCGGCCUUCUGGACUGACACUGACACUGAGGUGCGAAAGCGUGGGUAGCAAACAGGAUUAGAUACCCUGGUAGUCCACGCCGUAAACGAUGUCGACUAGCCGUUGGGGCCCUUGAGACCUUUGUGGCGCAGCUAACGCGAUAAGUCGACCGCCUGGGGGAGUACGGCCGCAAGGUUAAAACUCAAAUGAAUUGACGGGGGCCCGCACAAGCGGUGGAGCAUGUGGUUUAAUUCGAUGCAACGCGAAGAACCUUACCUACCCUUGACCUCGUGCGAACUUUCCAGAGAUGGAUUGGUGCCUUUGGGAACGCACAGACAGGUGCUGCAUGGCCGUCGUCAGCUCGUGUUGUGAAAUGUUGGGUUAAGUCCCGUAACGAGCGCCACCCCCGUCCUUAUUUGCCAGCCAGUAAGGUCGGGAACUCUAAGGAGACUGCCGGUGACAAACCGGAGGAAGGUGGGGACGACGUCAAGUCAUCAUGGCCCUUACGGGCAGGGCUACACACGUGCUACAAUGGUCGGCACAAUGGGUUGCGAAGCCGCGAGGUGGAGCUAAUCCCACAAAGCCGGUCUCAGUCCGGAUCGCAGUCUGCAACUCGACUCCGUGAAGUCGGAAUCGCUAGUAAUCGUGAAUCAGAAUGUCACGGUGAAUACGUUCCCGGGCCUUGUACACACCGCCCGUCACACCAUGGGAGUGGACUGCACCAGA
rnacentral:rRNA from 1 species